rnacentral:rRNA from 1 species
CUACGGGAGGCAGCAGUGAGGAAUUUUGCGCAAUGGGCGAAAGCCUGACGCAGCAACGCCGCGUGAGUGAUGAAGGCUUUCGGGUCGUAAAGCUCUGUCAAGUGGGAAGAACCCAUAUAAUGUUAAUACCAUUAUAUACUGACGGUACCACUGAAGGAAGCACCGGCUAACUCCGUGCCAGCAGCCGCGGUAAUACGGGGGGUGCAAGCGUUAUUCGGAAUCAUUGGGCGUAAAGAGCACGUAGGCGGCCUGGUAAGUCAGAUGUGAAAGCCCGGGGCUUAACCCCGGAAGUGCAUUUGAUACUGCCAGGCUUGAGUAUGGGAGAGGGAAGUGGAAUUCCUGGUGUAGAGGUGAAAUUCGUAGAUAUCAGGAGGAACACCGGUGGCGAAGGCGACUUCCUGGACCAAUACUGACGCUGAGGUGCGAAGGCGUGGGUAGCAAACAGGAUUAGAUACCCUGGUAGUCCACGCAGUAAACGUUGAUCACUAGGUGUAGCGGGUAUUGACCCCUGCUGUGCCGCAGUUAACGCAUUAAGUGAUCCGCCUGGGGAGUACGGUCGCAAGAUUAAAACUC